CGCACAUUGCGCCCCUUGGUAUUCCGAGGGGCAUGCCUGUUCGAGCGUCAUUACACCAAUCAAGCCUGGCUUGGUAUUGGGCGACGCGGGUCUCCCGCGCGCCUCAAUGUCCUCGGCUGGGCCGUCCGCCUCGAAGCGUCGUGAUUAUUCAUUCGCUCCGGAGGGUUGGGCGGCUGCGCGCCGUUAAACAUUAUUCUAGGUUGACCUCGGAUCAGGUAGGGAUACCCGCUGAACUUAA
rnacentral:misc_RNA from 1 species